AACGAACGCUGGCGGCAUGCCUAACACAUGCAAGUCGAACGGAGGCUUCGGCCUUAGUGGCGCACGGGUGCGUAACGCGUGGGAAUCUGCCCUUUGGUUCGGAAUAACAGCUGGAAACGGCUGCUAAUACCGGAUGAUGACGAAAGUCCAAAGAUUUAUCGCCAGAGGAUGAGCCCGCGUUGGAUUAGGUAGUUGGUGGGGUAAAGGCCUACCAAGCCGACGAUCCAUAGCUGGUCUGAGAGGAUGAUCAGCCACACUGGGACUGAGACACGGCCCAGACUCCUACGGGAGGCAGCAGUGGGGAAUAUUGGACAAUGGGCGCAAGCCUGAUCCAGCAAUGCCGCGUGAGUGAUGAAGGUCCUAGGGUUGUAAAGCUCUUUUACCCGGGAAGAUAAUGACUGUACCGGGAGAAUAAGCCCCGGCUAACUCCGUG
rnacentral:rRNA from 1 species